rnacentral:rRNA from 1 species
UGGGGAAUUUUGCACAAUGGGGGAAACCCUGAUGCAGCGACGCCGCGUGAUUUAGAAGGCCUUCGGGUUGUAAAAAUCUUUUGUAUGGGAAGAAAAUGACAGUACCAUAAGAAUAAGGUCCGGCUAAAUACGUGCCAGCAGCCGCGGUAAUACGUAUGGACCGAGCGUUGUCCGGAAUCAUUGGGCGUAAAGGGUACGUAGGCGGCCCAGUAAGUUAGAAGUGAAAUAAUAUAGCUCAACUAUAUAAAGCUUUUAAAACUGCUAGGCUUGAGAGAUGGAAGGGAAAGUGGAAUUCCUAGUGUAGCGGUGAAAUGCGCAGAUAUUAGGAAGAAUACCGGUGGCGAAGGCGACUUUCUGGUCAUCAUCUGACGCUGAGGUACGAAAGCGUGGGUAGCAAACAGG